rnacentral:lncRNA from 1 species
ACGCCACGAAAUAAGACUUGAAAUAUGGGGGAAAAGAAUACAACAUAAUAUGGGGGAAAAGAAUACAACAAAAAUGUACCCAAUGUAGUCCUACAAAGUGCGGGUUGGGGAGGGUAGAGUGUACAUUGACAUUUCCCCUACCUCAAAGGUGGAGAGAUUGUUUCCAAAAGACCUUCCGACUCAAGGAAAAAAGAGAUGGGGGGAAAGAAUAAUCAAUUGAAAUCUGAAACAUACAAAUAUGAAGAUAAUUACACUAGAAAUAACACAACUUCUUC